GGAGAGAUGGCUCAGUGGUUAAGAGCACUGACUGUUCUUCCACAGGUCCUGAGUUCAAUUCUCAGCAACCCCA
rfam:Cricetulus griseus cell line CHO-K1, whole genome shotgun sequence.